CCUAUCGAAAAAUGAGUCUGCGAGUCAGUGGCAUGUGGCGAGCAUAACCCGUGUGGGGUAUGCGUAGCGAAGGCGAGUCUUAAAAGGCGUUUGAGUCGCGUGUCCUGGACCCGAAGCGGGAUGAUCUAGCCCUGAGCAGGUUGAAGCGCGGGUAAGACCGCGUGGAGGACCGAACCCACCUGGGUUGAAAACCGGGGGGAUGACUUGGGGCUAGGGGUGAAAGGCCAAUCAAAUUCCGUGAUAGCUGGUUCUCUCCGAAAUGCAUUUGGGUGCAGCGUCGGGUCAUUACGUCCCGGGGGUAGAGCUACUGGAUGCUUGCGGGCCCGUAUCGGGUACCAACAGCAACCAAACUCCGAAUACCGGUGACGCGUAUCCCGGCAGUGAGUCGGCGGGGGAUAAGCUUCGUCGUCGAAAGGGAAACAGCCCAGACCGUCGUCUAAGGUCCCGAAGCGUGUGCUAAGUGGGAAAGGAUGUGGAGUCGCAUAGACAGCCAGGAGGUUGGCUCAGAAGCAGCCACCCUUGAAAGAGUGCGUAACAGCUCACUGGUCUAGUGGUUCCGCGCCGACAAUGUAGCGGGGCUCAAGCACACCACCGAAGACGCGGCAGUAUUUUGUACUGGGUAGGAGAGCGUCCCAUGAGGGGCGAAGCGGCCGUGUGAACGCGCCGUGGACUUCAUGGGAGUGAGAAUGCAGACAUGAGUAGCGAGAGACGGGUGAAGAUCCCGUCCGCUGGAUGACCAAGGGUUCCAGGGCCACGUUCAUCGUCCCUGGGUGAGUCGGGUCCUAAGGCGAGGCCGACAGGCGUAGUCGAAUGGAUGAACGGGUCGAUAUUCCCGUACCGGCUUUCAGCCGCCAAAACCGAGGCUUGGAGUACUAACCUCCGGGUCCGGGCUUACUGCUCCUUCGGGGGCGGGAUGCCCUGGCCUGUUGGGACCGAUCCUUGUAGUAGGUCAGCGCAGGAGUGACGCAGAAGGGUAGCCGGCCGCGGAGGUGGUCUUCCGUGGUCAAGCACGCAGGGCGUGGGACAGGCAAAUCCGUCCCGCAUGGGUCCGAGGUGCGAUGAUGGGGGCCUUAUGGCCCGAUAUCCGGUGAUCCCGGCUGCCGAGAAAAGCUUCGGCGUCAGGCUCGAAGCCGCCCGUACCCCAAACCGACACUGGUGGUCAGGUAGAGAAUACCAAAGCGAUCGAGCGAAUCCUGGUCAAGGAACUCGGCAAAUCACUCCCGUUCCUUCGGUUUAAGGGAGACCCCCGAUGGUGAACACACUUGCUGUGGGAGCUUUUGGGGGUGGCACAGACCAGGGGGUAGCGACUGUUUACCAAAAACACAGGUGCAUGCGAAGGCGCAAGCCGCUGUAUAUGCACUGACGCCUGCCCGGUGCCGGAAGGUUAAGAGGAUCCGUCAGCCUUCGGGUGAAGCGGUGAAUUCAAGCCCCGGUAAACGGCGGUGGUAACUAUAACCAUCCUAAGGUAGCGAAAUUCCUUGUCGGGUAAGUUCCGACCUGCACGAAUGGCGUAACGACUUCCCCACUGUCUCGACCAGGAGCUCGGCGAAAUUGCAGUACGAGUAAAGAUGCUCGUUAAGCGCAGAAGGACGAAAAGACCCCGGGACCUUUACUAUACCUUGGUAUUGGCAUUCGGUGUGGAUUGUGUAGCAUAGGCGGGAGGCCGAGAGGCGCGGGCGCCAGAUCGCGCGGAGCCGUAAGGUGAAAUACCGCUCUGUUCGCAUUGGAUGUCUAACCUCGAACAGUCAUCCUGUUCAGGGACAGUGCCUGGCGGGUAGUUUAACUGGGGCGGUUGCCUCCCAAAGAGUAACGGAGGCGCCCAAAGGUCCGCUCAGCCCGGUUGGCAAUCGGGUGGCGAGUGCAAGUGCACAAGCGGGCUUGACUGCGAGGACGACGGUCCGAGCAGGGACGAAAGUCGGGACUAGUGAUCCGGUGCCGGUGUACGGACGCGGCAUCGCUCAACGGAUAAAAGGUACCCCGGGGAUAACAGGCUGAUCAUUCCCAAGAGUCCAUAUCGACGGGAUGGUUUGGCACCUCGAUGUCGGCUCGUCGCAUCCUGGGGCUGGAGCAGGUCCCAAGGGUUCGGCUGUUCGCCGAUUAAAGUGGCACGCGAGCUGGGUUCAGAACGUCGUGAGACAGUUCGGUCUCUAUCCUCUGCGCUCGUUGGAAUGCUGAGGAGGCCUGCCCAUAGUACGAGAGGACCUGGGUGGACGAACCACUGGUAUACCGGUUGUCCCGCCAGUGGCACCGCCGGUUGGCUAAGUACGGAAGGGAUAACCGCUGAAAGCAUCUAAGCGGGAAGCCUGCUCCAAGAUAAGCAUUCCGUGGAACCUUCG
rnacentral:rRNA from 1 species